AAAAAAACUUGUGCGGACACAGAAAAACUUGUUCGAGUUACGUGAUACAAUAAUAUUAUUAUUAACGUGAAGCCAAUACAAAUUAUAGGUACGUAAAAAUAGAUCAUAUAUAAUAUAAUAUUAUAUCUUUGUCAUAAAAUCACAUUUUCGAACCGCGCCGCUAUUUAAAAUAAUAUCAGUGGAGAAAAGGUUAUUAUAGUACAUAAUAUAAUAAUAUUCUACUAAUCAUGUUUGUACUAUUCCAAAAAAUACAUUAUCAUUCAUUUCAAUUAUUAUACUACUAUU